UACGAAGGGGACUAGCGUUGUUCGGAAUUACUGGGCGUAAAGCGCACGUAGGCGGAUUGUAAGUCAGGGGUGAAAUCCCGGGGCUCAACCUCGGAACUGCCUUUGAUACUGCAAAUCUCGAGUCCGAUAGAGGUGGGUGGAAUUCCUAGUGUAGAGGUGAAAUUCGUAGAUAUUCGCAAGAACACCAGUGGCGAAGGCGGCUCACUGGCCCGAUACUGACGCUGAGGCACGAAAGCGUGGGGAGCAA
rnacentral:rRNA from 1 species